rnacentral:rRNA from 1 species
CCUACGGGAGGCAGCAGUGAGGAAUAUUGGUCAAUGGUCGCGAGCCUGAACCAGCCAAGUAGCGUGAAGGAUGACUGCCCUACGGGUUGUAAACUUCUUUUAUAAGGAAUUAAGUUACGCACGUGUGCCUUUUUGUUUGUACUUUCUGAAUAAGGAUCGGCUAACUCCGUGCCAGCAGCCGCGGUAAUACGGAGGAUCCGAGCGUUAUCCGGAUUUAGUGGGUUUAAAGGGAGCGUAGAUGGGUUGUUAAGUCAGUUGUGAAAGUUUGCGGCUCAACCGUAAAAUUGCAAUGGAUACUGGCAGCCUUGAGUACAGUUGAGGUAUGCGGAAUUCGUGGUGUAGCGGUGAAAUGCUUAGAUAUCACGAAGAACUCCGAUUGCGAAGGCAGCUUACUAAACUGCCACUGACAUUGAUGCUCGAAAGUGUGGGUAUCAAACAGGAUUAGAUACCCCUGUAGUC